UACGGAGGGUGCAAGCGUUAUCCGGAUUCACUGGGUUUAAAGGGUGCGUAGGUGGGUUGGUAAGUCCGUGGUGAAAUCUCCGAGCUUAACUCGGAAACUGCCGUGGAUACUAUCAAUCUUGAAUACUGUGGAGGUAAGCGGAAUAUGUCAUGUAGCGGUGAAAUGCUUAGAUAUGACAUAGAACACCGAUAGCGGAGGCAGCUUGCUACACAGUCAUUGACACUGAGGCACGAAAGCGUGGGGAGCGAACAGG
rnacentral:rRNA from 1 species